UACGGAGGGUGCGAGCGUUGUCCGGAAUCAUUGGGCGUAAAGGGCGCGUAGGUGGCCCGGUCAGUUCGUGGUGAAAGCGCGGGGCUCAACCCUGCGUCGGCCAUGAAUACUGCCGCGGCUGGAGCACUGUAGAGGCAGGCGGAAUUCCGGGUGUAGCGGUGGAAUGCGUAGAGAUCCGGAAGAACACCAGUGGCGAAGGCGGCCCGCUGGGCAGUGGCUGACGCUGAGGCGCGACAGCGUGGGGAGCAAACGAGGAU
rnacentral:rRNA from 1 species